GGGGCGGGGCCGGGCUGAACCAUGGCGGGCGGCGGCAUGGGGGCGGUGGGGCUCCGCGGGCAGCCUGGUUGCGCUGCACCCGGACGGGGCCGAGGGGACCUGAAAGCUGCGGCAGAGCCUGACCGCGCCGUUCUCCAGAAGAGCCCCGGCCGCGGCUGAGUCGCGCUCCGGGUGUGGACGGAGCCGGAGCCUCCCCGGGGCUCGGUGAGGACACAGGGCCCAAGCCCCGGACCUUCAAGUCUUGACCGAGCGCAUCCCCGGCCCUUCUGCGCCCACACCUGAGUUUUUGUCUGUAGGAGUUUCCGCAGUUUGCUAAGAAUCGACAUCUAGAGGAGUACUCACCACUUAAUUGAUGAUCAAUACACGUUCCUUGAAAGAACCGAUAGCAUGCGAUCGAUACAGAGCAUCUGCACUGGGAUUGUCCGCCCCGCCUGUCAGGGAGGCCUCGGGGGCUAAUGGAGCUGAGGGUAUAGUCGGCCUUGGACCCUCGCUUUUUUCCUUUCCUGUACUAUGAAGAUAACUGCCUUAUCUCCCCCUCAGGACUGUUUUGGGGAUUAAAUAGGACGUUUAAAUUACCAACGCUCUUUGAAAUAAACAUUUCAAAAUUAUUAUAACCCUUUA
ensembl:lncRNA CLN8-AS1 CLN8 antisense RNA 1